UGAGAGAGAGUGUGUGUGUGUGUGAGAGAGAGAGUGUGUGUGAGAGAGAAUAAAUGUGCUCUACAUGGCUGAUGUUCUUGUUUCUAAAUGUCUCACUGAUUCGGUGGAAUCUGAGCCCGAAAAUAUUUUGGAGGGUAAUUUAGAUGUGUCUGUUUUCUCUGCAUUGUAGGCUGGAGGUAGUGAUGACACCGUGCUGCGCUACUCCUCCCAGUACGAGGAGAGACUGGAUCCGUUUGCUUCCUUCAGCAGGAAGGAGCGUCAGCGUCGAUACCUGAGCCUCAGCCCCUGGGAUAAAGCGACUCUGAGCCUGGGUCGUGUGAUUCUCUCCAACAAGAUGGCCAGGACUGUUGCCUUCUUCUACACCCUGUUCCUGCAUUGUUUGGUCUUCUUGGUGUUGUACAAGACUGCUUGGAGCGAGAGUAUCGGCAGAGACUGCACCGCUUUCUGUGCUAAAAAGUACUCUGACCACCUCCACCGUUUCCAUGAGAACGACCAAAACCUUUAAGCUGUCACAGAGUAAUGUCACCUCGCCCCAGUGAGCUGGUUCAAUGUUCAGCAGCGUGCAUCACGUGCAUAAGAGUUCAAAUCUACCUGAUUAUGCUGCUCGUGAAGACAGACAGCUUUACUUUUCUUCUUGCAGUAGCCUGCAUUUCUACUAGGGGGCAGUUUAGGUCUGUAAACUGCAAAUCAAAUAGUUGAUUAAUUCCUUUAAUUCCUUCUAUAUUAAUAUAAUAAUCUUUAAAAGUUACUUCUGGUUUUCAUUUACUAAUUAUUGAUCUUCAAUAAGUUGUGAUUAAUCUAUAAGUCUAGCAGAACUAUAACUUAAGGUUCCUUAUUAUACUCAUAUAUUAACAUAAUGCUAAAAGAAAGCCAAUCGUGAAUAGUCUGUUUAAGGGACCACAAUACUUGUUUGUGUUAUGGGUUUUUUUUCUAGGUUUAGCUGGAAUUUAUAAUAGUUACAGAAUUAAAUAAAUAAAGAUAAAGUUGAUAUAAUAUUAAAGGUAAUAUGGUUAACACUAUAAUUGAUGUUUGAUUGGAGAGUACUGUGAAAGGUGGGAUAUUAAGGAGGAGGUGGUUAUUUUAAGAGAUUCUGGUGGUGGAACAAAAUAUACAGUAGUUAUAAGUUUACUUUUCAUUCCUUUGAGAUUUGCCAUACUUGAGUUUAACUAAUAGGAUUGCUAAGUACAAUAAUGACGUGUCUUUGGUGGAGAAAUCACCUGGUUACUUUCUAUUCAGAGACCAUUCGCUCCUCACAUGACUGAUGAGGGUUUGCAGCAGUAAUACAGUUACGCUUACUGAGUCUAUGAUACUGAUAUUCUUCUCCAAGACAAAAUACUGUGCAUGUUUACUUGAUAUACUCCAAAUAAAGACUAUGCAGCAAUAUCUGUUGUAUCAUUUUC